rnacentral:rRNA from 1 species
GGGGAAUUUUGUGCAAUGGGUGCAAGCCAGACGGAACAAAACCGCGUGAGGGAUAAAGGCUCUUAGGUGGUAAACCUNUUUUCUCCAGGAAGAAAAAUACGGUACCUGAGGAAUAAACAUCCGCUAACUCUGUGCCAGCCGCCGCGGUAAUACAGAGGAUGCAAGCGUUAUCUGGAAUGAUUCGGCGUAAAGAGUCCGUAGGUGGUUAUUCAAGUCUGUGGGUAAAGCCCGGAGCUCAACUCCUUAUAGCCCAUGGAAACUGAAUAACUAGAGUGACGUAGGGGGAGAGGGAAUUCUCGGUGUAGCGGUGAAAGGCGUAGAUAUCUGGAAGAACACCCGUGGCGAAAGCGCUCUACUGGGCCUUAACUGACACUCAGGGACGAAAGCUAGGGGAGCGAAAGAGAUUAGAUACCCC